rnacentral:rRNA from 1 species
UACGUAGGGGGCAAGCGUUGUCCGGAAUCAUUGGGCGGAAAGCGCGUGUAGGCGGUUACGUAAGUCUGCUGUGAAAGUCGGAGGCUCAACCUUCGAAAGCCGGUGGAUACUGCGUGACUAGAGUACGGAAGAGGAGAGUGGAAUUCCUGGUGUAGCGGUGAAAUGCGCAGAUAUCAGGAGGAACACCAACGGCGAAGGCAGCUCUCUGGGACGUUACUGACGCUGAGACGCGAAAGCGUGGGGAGCAAACAGG